rnacentral:rRNA from 1 species
ACUGCUCAGUAACACGUGGAUAACCUGCCCUUGGGACCGGCAUAACCCCGGGAAACUGGGGAUAAUUCCGGAUAACGCAUAUUUGCUGGAAUGCAUUAUGCGUGAAAUGGAUUCGUCCGCCCAAGGAUGGGUCUGCGGCCUAUCAGGUAGUAGUGGGUGUAAUGUACCUACUAGCCAGCGACGGGUACGGGUUGUGAGAGCAAGAGCCCGGAGAUGGAUUCUGAGACAUGAAUCCAGGCCCUACGGGGCGCAGCAGGCGCGAAAACUUUACAAUGCGGGAAACCGUGAUAAGGGGACACCGAGUGUCAGCAUCAUAUGCUGGCUGUCCAGGUGUGUAAAAUACACCUGUUAGCAAGGGCCGGGCAAGACCGGUGCCAGCCGCCGCGGUAACACCGGCGGCCCGAGUGGUGAUCGUGAUUAUUGGGUCUAAAGGGUCCGUAGCCGGUUUGGUCAGUCCUCCGGGAAAUCUGAUAGCUCAACUAUUAGGCUAUCGGGGGAUACUACCAGACUUGGAACCGGGAGAGGUAAGAGGUACUACAGGGGUAGGAGUGAAAUCUUGUAAUCCCUGUGGGACCACCUGUGGCGAAGGCGUCUUACCAGAACGGGUUCGACGGUGAGGGACGAAAGCUGGGGGCACGAACCGGAUUAGAUACCCGGGUAGUCCCAGCCGUAACGAUGCUCGCUAGGUGUCAGGCAUGGCGCGACCGUGUCUGGUGCCGCAGGGAAGCCGUGAAGCGAGCCACCUGGGAAGUACGGCCGCAAGGCUGAAACUUAAAGGAAUUGGCGGGGGAGCA